AUCAGGUUAACGGAACUCAUGCUGCAGCCCAUCAGAUAACAUGGACAUCUCUGCCCUCUGAUUAGCUUAUUUGAGGUGUCUAACUCAAGUAAACAACACUGUGGCCAGCUCUUAAACACAAUUAAGGAGAAGCCUGAUCAGAGGUUCCUGGACACAAGGCUCAAGGGGAGCUUAAGGUCCCAAUGGCAGAAAGCAAUCAAAGGAAAAACAACUCUGAGGUUUUAUUACCAAGCUGAGAUUCUGUUGCCUAGAUAAUUUGUGCCACUUUGCAGAUGAGACAGCACAAAAGGCAAAGUGGAGUGAAAUAAGUGCUAAGAUGACUCAUAUUCACUGGGAAGAGAACACCUUGAAGAGACUUGAAGUGGAGCUGCAAUUUCAGAUUCCCUUCCUCUUUCUUGCCUUUCAUUCCUUUCCACAGUUCUUUGUUUUAUAUCUGGAGCAAAA